rnacentral:rRNA from 1 species
AUUGAACGCUGGCGGCAGGCCUAACACAUGCAAGUCGAACGAGUGGCGGACGGGUGAGUAAUGUCUGGGAAACUGCCUGAUGGAGGGGGAUAACUACUGGAAACGGUAGCUAAUCCCGCAUACCAUCGGAUGUGCCCAGAUGGGAUUAGCUAGUAGGUGGGGUAAAGGCUAACCAAGGCGACGAUCCCUAGCUGGUCUGAGAGGAUGACCAGCCACACUGGAACUGAGACACGGUCCAGACUCCUACGGGAGGCAGCAGUGGGGAAUAUUGCACAAUGGGCGCAAGCCUGAUGCAGCCACGCCGCGUGUAUGAAGAAGGUCUUCGGAUUGUAAAGUACUUUCAUCGGGGAGGCGUUACCCGCAGAAGAAGCACCGGCUAACUCCGUGCCAGCAGCCGCGGUAAUAC